GAUGAACGCUGGCGGCGUACCUAAUACAUGCAAGUCGAGCGAACAGACGAGGAGCUUGCUCCUCUGACGUUAGCGGCGGACGGGUGAGUAACACGUGGAUAACCUACCUAUAAGACUGGGAUAACUUCGGGAAACCGGAGCUAAUACCGGAUAAUAUAUUGAACCGCAUGGUUCAAUAGUGAAAGACGGUUUUGCUGUCACUUAUAGAUGGAUCCGCGCCGCAUUAGCUAGUUGGUAAGGUAACGGCUUACCAAGGCGACGAUGCGUAGCCGACCUGAGAGGGUGAUCGGCCACACUGGAACUGAGACACGGUCCAGACUCCUACGGGAGGCAGCAGUAGGGAAUCUUCCGCAAUGGGCGAAAGCCUGACGGAGCAACGCCGCGUGAGUGAUGAAGGUCUUCGGAUCGUAAAACUCUGUUAUUAGGGAAGAACAAAUGUGUAAGUAACUAUGCACGUCUUGGCGGUACCUAAUCAGAAAGCCACGGCUAACUACGUG
rnacentral:rRNA from 1 species